rnacentral:rRNA from 1 species
ACGACUCUCGGCAACGGAUAUCUCGGCUCUCGCAUCGAUGAAGAACGUAGCGAAAUGCGAUACCUGGUGUGAAUUGCAGAAUCCCGCGAACCAUCGAGUCUUUGAACGCAAGUUGCGCCCGAGGCCACUCGGCCGAGGGCACGCCUGCCUGGGCGCCACGC